GGGUGCGGCGCCCGGUGCCGCAGGAAAGAGGAUGGUCGGGCCGCCAUCU
rnacentral:ncRNA from 1 species